AACUGCUAAAUUUACAGAUUUUUAAAAAGGAGAACCCAUACUCAGUGACAGCUCAUGGUAAAUGCACCUGUAAUUUAAGAUUUAACAAAGGAGUUAUUAAAAAAUAGCAUCCAGCUUUUUACUCCAACUGUUUGCCGAAUCUUGCUUUGGGCAAGUUGCACAAGGUUUAUAUCUCUUAUUCUGCUUUAGUAGAAUGAAUAAAUUUAAUAACAGUCUUAUAAGUGAAAUAACUACA